AAAUGAAUAGACGGGGACCCGCACAAGCAGCGGAGCAUGUGGUUUAAUUCGAAGCAACGCGAAAAACCUUACCAAGACUUGACAUCGUAUGAUCAUCAUAGAAAUAUGGUUUCUCUUCGGAGCAUAUAGACAGAUGGUGCAUGGUUGUCGUCAGCUCGUGUCGUGAGAUGUUGGGUUAAGUCCCAAAACGAGCGCAACCCUUAUCGGUAGUUGCCAAUAUUAAGUUAGGAACUCUGCCGAGACCGCCGCUGUAAGGUGGAGGAAGGAAGGGACGACGUCAAAUCAUCAUGCCUCUUACGUCUUGGGCUACACACGUGCUACAAUGGCCAUUACAAAGAGCAGCAACAUGGUAACAUCGAGCAAAUCUCACAAAAAUGGCCUCAGUUCAGAUUGUGGGCUGCAACCCGCCCACAUGAAGCAGGAGUUGCUAGUAAUCCCGAAUCAGCAUGUCGGGGUGAAUGCGUUCCCGGGUCUUGUACACACCGCCCGU
rnacentral:rRNA from 1 species